rnacentral:lncRNA from 1 species
GGAUAACCCUGAUUUCCAUAUGCAGAUUUAUCUGCACUGACAGCCCCCUCUCCCUCUCUUAGUCUUUCUGUUUCCUCUCUCCCUCCCUCUCUCUCCCUCUUUCUCUUCCCCUCUCUUUCUCUUCCUCUCUGUCUUUUUGUCUCUCUUUAUGUCUAUUGCAUUAUGCUUGAAUAAUUUUCAGCUGGGGUUUUUUUUUUCUCUCCUCUUGCACAUGCUAAAAUAACUAGACAAAGAUGCAAGGUGGUUGCUGCAGUCCCUGUCUCUAGGACAAAACCAAGAAAGCUCGGGUUUGCAAUGCCACCUUUCCUUUUUUUUUUUUUUUCUUUCUUUUUUUUUUCCCCCACCCAUGCUCGGUGAUUAAACUUACCCAGGAUGGGGAAGAAAAAGGAGCUGGAAAUGAGAUAAGGUUAAGGAAAAAGCCCAUUGCAGCAGCUGCAGCCAGUGGUGUCUGCUGCCAGAUGUGCUAAGGUUCCUGGGGUCCUUGACACUAAAAGGCAGUAUUAAAAUAUUUGGAGACAAAAGCUGCAUCUUCAGUGCUCAUUUUCUUUAUUUAACAUGGCAGCAAGCACCGUGUGGGGGAAAAUCAACACGCUGGAUGUUGAAUUGGACUUUUCUCCGUUCUAGGAUGAAAGGAUGUUAUCUAUCCCGUGCCAAGAGGGAACUAAGAGCAAUGAACAUAUGGCUGUUACUAUCAGCACUAGUGUAUUUGCGGCGAUGCCUAUCAACAUCCACCAGAGAGCAGGGCAGCUCCAAAACCCACAUCUUUUAUGCUGUGGAAAUUGAUGGAGACAGCAACACAGCCAGCUUCUUGGCCAAACAACAUGGAAUGCAGUUCAUUUCAAAGGUACUGGUCUCUUAG